rnacentral:lncRNA from 1 species
AGGAAAGUUAGUUCAACACAUAACACGUUGGACAAUUAAAGGAUAUAAAAAGCAGGAAACAUAAAUAAGGAAAAAGGGUGGGAUCCCUCCCCUCGUGAAAGGUGUCCCUAAUAGGGUAAGGCAGACUCUACCCUAGGUGAAACUAUAUGGAUGCAUGAGGUUGGGGUUCGCUAAUGCAUCUAUACUCAAUAAGCUCAGGCCCCCAAGCCUUCAGACUCGUGGCCAAGGGUCAUCACUCCCAAGGCCCUUUGUCGGUGGCUCGAGCGAUUCCCCAAACACCGCUACGCACACGUCGUGUUAC